GGUAACAUGAGAGGCAUGGUGUCCCCUGGCCUGCCUCUUUGAAUAGUUUACUCUGUCUACAUUCUCAGCUGGAGCUGGCACAUGGUCAGCUGUGAAUCGGAGGCUCCACCCUUGCCCUGGCUUCCUAGGCCUUAGGUUCUGGGGCUGAUAGAAUGGAGAACGCGAAUGAACCAAGAAACUCAGGCACAGAGAAGUUAAGCAACUUGCUCAAGAUCACACAGUCAUUAAGUGGCAAAACUGGGAAUGGAACCUAGGCAUUUUGGCUCGUCUUUCUCCUAACCAACACUAUUAGCAAAAAUCCUGAUGUAUGAAAGAAAAUAACAACUGCUUUACACAGUUUUAUGUGGUUUAAAUGAAAUAAGAGCCCAUCCUCAGCCCACCCACAAAUGGCUGUAUCCAGCACUGCAUAUCUGCUCAAAAAACAAAAGCGACCCAAGUGGAGAGAGAAAGCUAAUCAUGGGCUUGGCAUCUGAUUGUGGUCUGGCUUAAUACAUUAUUCUUAGAGCCAACUGGAAAGGAAACCACCACCCAAAUCCGUCACGACGUGUGC
rnacentral:lncRNA from 1 species